GACGAACGCUGGCGGCGUGCUUAACACAUGCAAGUCGAACGGAGCGAAUGAAAGCUUGCUUUUAUGAGCUUAGUGGCAAACGGGUAAGUAACACGUAGACAACCUGCCGAUCAGAUGGGGACAACAUUCCGAAAGGAAUGCUAAUACCGAAUGGCGUGUAGGGGAGGCAUCUCCCCUAUAUGAAAGAUGGCCUCUAUAUAUAAGCUAUCACUGAUCGAUGGGUCUGCGUCUGAUUAGCUAGUAGGUAAGGUAACGGCUUACCUAGGCGACGAUCAGUAGCCGGUCUGAGAGGAUGAACGGCCACAUUGGGACUGAGACACGGCCCAGACUCCUACGGGAGGCAGCAGUGGGGAAUCUUCCGCAAUGGGCGCAAGCCUGACGGAGCAACGCCGCGUGAGUGAAGAAGGUCUUCGGAUCGUAAAGCUCUGUUGAAGGGGACGAACGUACAUAGUGCGAAUAGUGCUGUGUAAGACGGU
rnacentral:rRNA from 1 species